AGGGGGUGCAAGUCCUUCACCAGGCGUACGUGGGCAGCGUAUCCUUCUUCCCCGAGCGUGCCUUUCCGCUCUCUUCAUCACUUCUGGCAAGAGUUCGUUUUGAUGUGGUUUCCCGAGAUGUUCUGUGCUGAGCUGGACUUCUCAGUCUUGGUGGUUUCACGGCCACUAUGGCACGUGGACUUGAACAUAAUGCUCUUGAAGCAUCUCGGGAACACGUCGGGUCCCCUGCCCACAAGCCUGGAGGUGGGGGAACAUUUGAGUCCCUCGCGGAGCACAGCAUCCUGUGUGCAGGGCCCAGUGCAUGCCCUCUGAGGCCGUGCGAGCAGCUCGCCACUGUCUGAACCGAAACCAGAGCCUAUGGGAGUGUGGGUUGUGCUGAAGUUUGUGCAGGAUGGACACCACGCCCCUGCACGUGGUGCACAGCCUCCUCCUCAGAUCUUCCCUGGCGUCGCUUGGCAUUUCUAUACACCUCUCUUACGAUCUCGCACACGGUGUCUACAUUUUUUCUUGGAUGGCUGUUAACUUUUUGAGACUGUUCCUUCCGGUCUGCCUCUUGCACUUUCUGCCUGUCCAGGCUGAGAACUCCUGAAGGGCGCUGACAAGUGAGAUGCCCCCACUGACAGUCCUCCCCUACAACAGCCUUACUGGGACCAGGUACACAGUCCCCCAAGCUCCAGCCUCGGGGGGCUCGUGUGUCUCCUCGUGACCAGCAGGCGGGCUUUCUGCGCUCGCCCACACAGCAGCCUGGAGUCCUUCACGCCGAGCUGUGGCUGAACAGCAGUCCGUGGCAGGGAUGGGCUGCCGCUGGAUCCAUUCACCCACUGAGCUGACAGACGUCUGGAUUGUUCCAUUCGGGGGCUGCUGGGACGUUGUUGCCAGCAUUUAUCUAUGACUCUUGUCACACGCCGAGUACACGGGCAAGUGCAGACAUGCCUCGCCUCGUUCCCGGUUUUAGAGGUCUGUCGCCACCAGAUGCUCUGCUGUUGAGACCUUCACACGUGUGUCUUUUAUCCUGAGGCCCAGGAAGCUGCCUUCUGUUCGUGGUUGGACACUUCUUAUGGGUGUGUUUGCGUUUGUCCAGUGUUUUGCUACUUCCAUUGAGCUGAUCCUGUGGAUUUUGUCCUUUACUCCAUGAGGAUGGGCUAUGAUAUUCGUUGAUGGUUGCAUGUCUGGCCGACUGACAUUCCUGGGGUAAAUAUUUGGUUGUGGUACAUGAUGUUGCCGUACUUGGGUUACGGCUCUUUUGUUGAGAAUUUGACAUCUCACGGUUCACAAGGGACACUGAUCUCUAGUCUCCUUCGUGACAUCUGUGGCUUUGGUGUCGGGACGCUCACCUCACAGGUGGGGUGGGGAAGCUGUGUUUUUUCCGAGUUUGUGAGUGAGUCGUGUCAUGGACAGAAUGCUCAGUGGAGCUGCUGGGCUCUUCCUCUGCAUGAAAACUUCAGAUCUCGUAUCAGUUCGAUUUCUUGCUACAGUCUAUUCUGAUUUACUGUUUCCCUCUGAGUCCAUUUACGUGAUUUGUGCCUUUCUAGGAACUGGCCAGGGUUGUUUUCCUAGCAUUCCCUGAGAGUCCUGAUGCUUAGUGCUGUGGGGGUAGGGGUAGCGCCGUCCCCCUUCCCGCGUGAUUUUGGUGAUGUGUGUGUUCUUUGUUGGUCAGUCUAACUGUGGGUUUGUCAACUUCGUGAUCUUUUCAAAGAACUAACUUUUGGGUUUUCUGUUUUCUAUUUUGCUGAUUUUCCUUUUUCUUCUACUUCAUGUUUUGUUUGCUCUUUUCUCUAGUUUC